rnacentral:misc_RNA from 1 species
GCAAACUUGGUCAUUUAGAGGAAGUAAAAGUCGUAACAAGGUUUCCGUAGGUGAACCUUCGGAAGGAUCAUUACCGAGUGCCGGGCGCGAGCCCGUAUUCGCACACCCUCUGUCGACCCUCCGCAGUUGCUUCGGCGGGCGGGCCCCGCGCCCGCCCGCCGGAGGACCCCCCCAAACGCAUGGCAAACCGGUCCGUCCGAGGCUAUACGCGAAUCAGUCAAAACUUUCAACAACGGAUCUCUUGGUUCGGGCAUCGAUGAAGAACGCAGC